GGCCUCCCUCUGCGGAGCGAUCGAUCAUGGGGCCCCCAGAUCGAUCGCCCUUCAGAGGGUGGCC
rfam:Myotis brandtii contig246921, whole genome shotgun sequence.